AUGGUAGGUGUGCCAUAUCAGUGUUUCCCACAGAAUUUUGAGAGACUGUGGCGGUGAUGACCAGGGGCGGUGGCUUUUGGGGCUCGAGCCCCGAAUGUUUUGUCAAAAGCCCCGAAUCUUUUCAGAUCUGUAAAAUGAAUUCAUCCAGGACGCUAGGUGGCGGCACUCAGCUUUAACUCUCCGGUCCCCCACUCAACUGAAAAUGAAUAAGAGAUGCGUGUUGAAGGCAAAAUAAUAUGCUGAAUCUCCCCACAGUAAACGCAUUUUCAAAGUGUCUUUAUUAUUACAGUGCCUUCGUUAUUACUGUAAGUGUAUAUUUAUAGUUAUGUGAUGUAAAUACUGUUAAAUAGCGUCAACUGAUAUAUUAUCUGCAUGGCUAACGUCUAACUUACUGUGGUGCUCUGGUCUAGUCUGCCUCAUUGGUCAUUGAUGGAUAUACGAUUUAUAUUUUUAAAGACGUCAGAAGUAAGAAGUGCAAAUAGGAAGAGAGGAGGGUGGAGAGAGAUCACAGAUAGACAGAAAGAGAGAGAAACGCUUUCAUAAGCAGUUUCAAAAUGACAAUACCAGUGUUGGGUAAGUUACUCAAAAAAGUAAUUAAUUACUAGUUACUAAUUACAUCUUCAAUCAUGUAAUUAAAUUACUUUACAAAUUACUCCAAAAAGUAUUUAAUUAUUACUAAUUACUUUCUAAAUCCUAUUUAGUACAUGAUACAAGGAUAGGCUUGAAAUGGCUCGAAGAAACAAUAUUUAAAAGUACAUCAAUUAUUCUGGUCCCACUUUAGGGUUAAUUUCUCUCUAUUAAUUAACUAUUAACUACUUUUGCCUCAAUAUACUCCAACUACUGCUUAUUAAUACUAAAGUAGUUGUUUAUUUUAAGUAUUUGUAGAAAUGGGGAGGGUUAAGGAUGUAGAAUAAGGUUUUGCAGAAUCAGGCAUUAAUAUGUGCUAUUUAAAGAGACACAAGGCAGCAUUUUUAUGUUAAUAAAUCAUCUUCGUAAGUCUGUAUAUGGUUAAAUGACUCAUUACAUAACGAAUGAAGACUCUCUCGCCCGCCCCUACCGUCUGUAGGAAGAAUACCCCACUUGCAAGUUCGCUGUAUCCGACCCGGUGUCCUUCAGUCUCGUCAAGUCUCAGAUAUAGAAAGCAUUUACUCCCAGACACUAGGGGGAGCUAGUAGAGAAAUAAUACUCAGACUUGCCUUGUGUCCCUUUAAGUAGGCCUAC